GAAAAGAAAGGCAGGUUAAAAGGCUAACCCAGGGAACAGAAGGGUGCUCUUAAUUACUGCUGCUAGAUGGCUAGAACUUAAGAAUGAGACAAACAAUACACAUGUGUAUAACCUCAUUUAUCUGCAAUGCUGCAGGAAACAAAAAUUAUUGGACAAAUGGGUUUGGAUAAUCAGAAGAAAUCCUGUGGAAGUGAUUCAUGCAAAGACUGGAACAGAAGGGAGUUUCACAUUUUAAAAGGUCAUCAAAACGGAAAUCAUGCACAUUUACAGCAGGUUUGCAAUAUAAGCAAAGAAUGAAAAAAAGACACUGGGGCAAGGUUCCAGUUGGGUUCAUCUUCCUCCACUCCAAGGUCCUCGAUAGCCGUUCUUUGUCCUCACUGUUCUUAACUUUCCCAUUUCACUAUUCCACUGAAAUUACAUUAGGAGUGCCUGUGUUGCUAACUCAUUCC